UGGGGAAUUUUGGACAAUGGGGCAACCUGAUCCAGCAAUGCCGCGUGUGUGAAGAAGGCCUUCGGGUUGUAAAGCACCUUUGUCCGGAAAGAAAACGCCGUGGUUAAUACCCGUGGCGGAUGACGGUACCGGAAGAAUAAGCACCGGCUAACUACGUGCCAGCAGCCGCGGUAAUACGUAGGGUGCAAGCGUUAAUCGGAAUUACUGGGCGUAAAGCGUGCGCAGGCGGUCCGCUAAGACAGAUGUGAAAUCCCCGGGCUUAACCUGGGAACUGCAUUUGUGACUGGCGGGCUAGAGUAUGGCAGAGGGGGGUAGAAUUCCACGUGUAGCAGUGAAAUGCGUAGAGAUGUGGAGGAAUACCGAUGGCGAAGGCAGCCCCCUGGGCCAAUACUGACGCUCAUGCACGAAAGCGUGGGGGAGCAAACAGGAUUAGAUACCCUGGUAGUCCACGCCCUAAACGAUG
rnacentral:rRNA from 1 species